rnacentral:rRNA from 1 species
GGGCCUGCACAAGCGGUGGAGUAUGUGGCUUAAUUCGAUGCAACGCGAAGAACCUUACCUGGCCUUGACAUGCAUCUCUAAGUGUGUGAAAGCCAUGACCCCUCGGGGAAUUUGCACAGGUGCUGCAUGGCUGUCGUCAGCUCGUGUCGUGAGAUGUUGGGUUAAGUCCCGCAACGAGCGCAACCCUUAUGUUUUGUUGCCACUUUCGCUUCGGCGGAAAGCACUCUAAACAGACUGCCUCGUCUCAACGAGGAGGAAGGUGGGGAUGACGUCAAGUCAGUAUGGCCCUUACGGCCAGGGCUGCACACGUACUACAAUGCCCAGUACAAUGGGAAGCAAUACCGCGAGGUGGAGCAAAUCCUCAAAACUGGGCCCAGUUCAGAUUGUAGUCUGCAACUCGACUACAUG